AUGCUUAUCUUUGCAGCAAAUAUACUAAAACUGGAAUCUACAGAGAGAAUUAGCAUGCCCUCUUGUGGCAAGGAUGAACUGCAAAUAUCCGUGAAUGUUCAUAAUUUUUU
rnacentral:snRNA from 1 species